rnacentral:rRNA from 1 species
UGCCAGCCGCCGCGGUAAUACGGAGGGGGCAAGCGUUAUUCGGAUUUAUUGGGCGUAAAGGGCGCGUAGGCGGCUAAGUAAGUUGAAGGUGAAAUCCCACGGCUCAACCGUGGAACUGCCUUCGAUACUGCUUGGCUAGAGUUCGGGAGGGGGUAGUGGAAUUCCUAGUGUAGCGGUGAAAUGCGUAGAUAUUAGGAGGAACACCAGUGGCGAAGGCGACUACCUGGACCGAUACUGACGCUGAAGCGCGAAAGCAUGGGGAGCAAACAGGAUUAGAUA